CUAUUUUUUUGAAUAGGUCUUCCUAUUCC
rnacentral:misc_RNA from 1 species